UACGAAGGGGGCUAGCGUUGUUCGGAAUUACUGGGCGUAAAGCGCGCGCAGGCGGUCUUUCAAGUCAGUGGUGAAAGCCCGGAGCUCAACUCCGGAAAUGCCAUUGAAACUGUGAGACUUGAGGAUGAGAGAGGUGAGUGGAAUUCCCAGUGUAGAGGUGAAAUUCGUAGAUAUUCGGAGGAACACCAGUGGCGAAGGCGGCUCACUGGUCCAUUACUGACGCUGAGGUGCGAAAGCGUGGGGAGCAAACAGG
rnacentral:rRNA from 1 species